GCCGGACUGCCAGCAGAGCGUGAUGAUCGGGAUCAACGGUAAGUUCCCCGGGCCGACGAUCACCGCAAACGCCGGCGACGUGAUCAGCGUCGAGGUGACGAACAACCUGCACACUGAGGGGAUCGUCAUCCACUGGCAUGGAAUUAAACAGGUGAUUGCAUCUAUAAAUUAAAGUCUAUAAAACCUUAUCAUGCAAAACGAACUUACUGUUAAAAGCCAUUUAACGAGACAACAACGUGGGUAUGUUGGAAGGAUAACAACAUGUUAGCAUGCAUCCAAAAUGUGCAGAUCGGGACACCAUGGGCUGAUGGGACCGCGUCGAUUUCCCAGUGCCCCAUCGAGUCAGGGGGGAACUUCACCUACGAGUUCCUAGUUGACAAGGUAAUCACAAAUCAACCGCUCUCCAAAUCGAUAAAACAUUUUACCUCCAGCUAGUCUUGACUGAUUCGUGGUGAACGGAAACGUUCGUCGUCGUUGCAGCCGGGAACUUUCUUCUACCACGGCCACUUCGGGAUGCAGAGGGCGGCGGGGCUCUACGGCUCGCUCAUCGUGAACGCCACGGACAAGCAGCCGGAGCCCUUCGCCGCCGAUUACGACGGCGAGCACAGCAUGCUUCUCAGCGACUGGUACCACGAGAACGUCUACGCGCAGGCGGCCGGGCUCGACGGCAAGGACAAGCACUGGCAGUGGGUCGGCGAGCCCCAGGUGAUCCUAGCUAUUUAACUAUCCUUCCCAGUGAUUUCGUAACUCGCCUUCUCACUGAAUGCCUGAAUAAUGUAAGUACUGACGCCCGUAUGCCGCCGCAGACGUUGCUCAUCAACGGGAGGGGCCAGUUCGGGUGCUCUCUGGGGAUCACCCGUGACCGCAGGGCCUGCGACAGGAGGAAGAAGGACGCGUUCUGCCCGGAGGGCGACAAGAGCGAGCGGUGCGAGAUGAUCCGGAGAAGCGAGUGCGGGCCCUUCUGCGAGGGCACCAAGUGCUCGCCGGUGGCCUUCGACGUCGAGCCGGGGAAGACGUACAGGCUCAGGAUCGCCAGCACCACCUCCCUCUCCGCUCUCAACGUGCAGGUCCAAGGUCACAAGCUCACGGUGGUGGAAGCGGACGGCAACUUCGUGGAGCCGUUCGAGGUCACCGACAUCGACAUCUACUCCGGCGAGAGCUACUCCGUGCUCCUCAAGACGGACCAGCGACCAUCAUCCUACUGGAUCUCCGUGGGCGUGAGAGGGCGAAGACCCAAGACGCAGCCGGCCCUGGCCAUCCUAAACUACACCAACAGCAAACCCGACAGCUGGCCGUCGGGCGUGACCCCGGAGACCCCGGCCUGGGACAACGUGACGCGCAGCAAGGAGUUCACGUACCGGAUCAAGGCCCGGGCCGGCACCGCCCGGCCGCCGGCGGCCGUGGACCGUCGCAUCACCAUGCUCAACACGCAGAACAGGUUCAAGGGGCACAUCAAGUGGGCCAUCAAC
rnacentral:lncRNA from 1 species